UUACCGAGUUUGGAUACUCAAAAACCCUUUCGUGGACGUCUCGAACGUUGCCUCGGCGGUCUCGCCCGUCGGUGGCCCUAAAACCCAACUCUUGCAACAUGCUUCUGAGUGGCGUAGACUAAAAAUCAAGUCAAAACUUUCAGCAACGGAUCUCUUGGCUCUGGCAUCGAUGAAGAACGCAGCGAAAUGCGAUAAGUAAUGUGAAUUGCAGAAUUCAGCGAAUCAUCGAAUCUUUGAACGCACAUUGCGCCCGCUGGUAUUCCGGCGGGCAUGCCUGUUCGAGCGUCGUCAAAAACCCUCCGGCCUCGUUUCGCCUCCCGUGGAGGCGAGCGGCCGGGCGUUGGGGCGCCGCGGGACGCUACGGCGGUCCCGCGCGCCCCCAGAUCGAGUGGCGCGUCGCCCCGAAACCUCCCCAGCGCAGUAGCUUUUGUCUCGCUGGCGGCGGACGGGAGCGGUCCCUGCCUCGCCCGUGGGGAAGGUCGUCCUUUCGUCGUCCCCGCGACCCCAACAACGUUUGACCUCGGAUCAGGUAGGAUUACCCGCUGAACUUAAGCAUAUCAAUAAGCGGAGGAAAAGAAACCAACAGGGAUUGCCUCAGUAACGGCGAGUGAAGCGGCAACAGCUCAAAUUUGAAAUCUGGCCUCGGCCCGAGUUGUAAUUUGCAGAGGAUGCUUCUGGCGACGUGCCUUCCGAGUCCCCUGGAACGGGGCGCCGGAGAGGGUGAGAGCCCCGUACGGUUGGACGCCGAGCCUGUGUGAAGCUCCUUCUACGAGUCGAGUAGUUUGGGAAUGCUGCUCUAAACGGGAGGUAAAUUCCUUCUAAAGCUAAAUACCGGCCAGAGACCGAUAGCGCACAAGUAGAGUGAUCGAAAGAUGAAAAGCACUUUGGAAAGAGGGUCAAAAAGUACGUGAAAUUGCUGAAAGGGAAGCGCUUGCGACCAGACUCGCGCCAGGCGGAUCAUCCAGCGGUAUCGCUGGUGCACUUCGCCCGGCCGCGGGCCAGCAUCGGUUCUGGCGGGGGGACAAAAGCCUGGGAAACGUAGCUCCCUUCCAGGAGUGUUAUAGUCCCUCGCCUAAUGCCUCCGCCGGGACCGAGGACCGCG
rnacentral:rRNA from 1 species